rnacentral:misc_RNA from 1 species
GAGUAAAACAUCUGUUGAAAUAUAAAUGCAUAAAUAAAAUAGUAUAUCUAUACGACGAUACAAAUAAAAUUACUUAUACCGCACACCCCACGGCCCACUAGAAAAGUCGAAAAAUUCUAAAAGCGGAAUUAUUUAGGUUUUUAUAACUGUUCGGGUGUGUGUGUCUACAGGAUAAAUGAAACAAUUCAACAAACAGGAUCGCAACUUCGAGCAUUAAUACUUCAUGAUUUAGAGUUUAUUUGCAAAUUAUACACUGACAGGAUCUGUCUCCCUGGAGGAGCUGUUACCCGAAGGAAGCUGCUUCCCGGUGGAUGGACAACAUCCUACUUGACAUCAAAAUGCUGACAUUUGCUUAUUCCCACCAUACAUUAUCAAGUUUAUGAGACCGCUAUAUGCCCAGAAAAGAACAAUGUCGAUGGUGGACAGUAUUAGUCAUUUAUCCGUUGGACAUUUUUUCCUUUUGGACACAAUGGAUUUCCUCGGAAAACGACAAUUCCAAACAAACUAUCUACUGUGAAUCUGAAGAGAGCAAAGAUGAACCGACGACGACUCCAGAGCCCGACAUCGAUGUCGCUUCAUCAAACAACGCGUCUGAACACGACGAUGUAUCAAGUGAAAGUACACCAGUAGCAGAAGGUCUUACUUCAAUUCGCUUGAUUAGGCCCAAAUCCAGAUGUUAUACUGCAGAAGUGGAAGGAGCUUGCUACUCAGGUGAGGACUGCUUCAGAAAAGGUGGUCAAGUGACAACCCCCUGCCUCAAAGAUGGUAUCUCCAUCGUGAAGUCGCAUCUUCACUGUUGUGCUUUCAUACACACGUGCGGAGAUGUCUCAUCGGAAAAAGUGACUUAUUUCCGCUCGCCAGACUAUCCGAGCAAAUCCACAGGUUCGCUCGCUUGCGAUUAUGACCUCAUAGUGCAAAGCACAACUUGCGCGAUAAGGGUUGAUUAUUUAAAAGUGAACUUGGCAAGGAAAUUAGGAGGGGUAUGCGAUAUAGAUCAGUUAUUUAUUCUCAAUUCUGUAGACGGACCGACCGCAGGCCAAUGCGGCCCUCUUUCCGGCUACUCGACGACUGUGGCUGUAAAUCCUGGCCAAUCAAACCCCGUGAAAAUAGCACUGCUUAUCCAAAAUGAAGGGACUUACCACUGGGAUAUCAAAGUCACCCAACUGGCGUGCAAUCAAGUCAAACACUUUAGAAGGCCAAAAUUGUGUGGGGAAGUGAAAAACGAGAUUUUAUCUGGAGUAGCCAGUUCACACGGUUUGGACUGGUAUUUUAACGAUAACAACGUCUGGAAGAAGCCCAACAUACCUCAGCAUACUUGGUGGUCGUAUCCAGAGCCGAUUUUUAACACUUUUUAUUAUGGUUCUACAAAACGUUAUAUGGAACAGGAAAACCAAGGAAAAUUUGCGAAAAGAAGAAUUGUUUCAGGGUCUGAUGCUCAUGUAGGUGAAUUUCCUUGGGUGGUUGCCAUUGGACUCGAUCAAAUGUUUUUUUGCGGAGGAGCCCUUAUUACCGACAGCUUAGUGCUUACUGCCGCUCACUGCUUGAUGGCGCGCGACACGCCAAUAGGGUCACUCGUACUGCAUUUAGGCGAUUUAGACCUGACAAGCCCUAAUGAAACAAACCACGUGCUCAGAGGAGUGAGCAAGGUCAUGUUCCACUCACACUUUCAUCCUUUUCUUCUUGCAAAUGACAUCGCCCUUCUGAGACUCGACCAGCCUGUUGCAUUCACAGACACAAUUCAGCCCGUCUGCCUUCCCGGGCCAAUGCUUUCUCUCUUGUUCCAUCAAUGGUCUUUCAGGGGACGUAUUCACAGGGCAAAAAGGAACAGUCGUAGGAUGGGGAGUAACUUCGUUUCCGAUGGGAGAACCGAGCCCAAUACUGCAAAAAUUGGAUGUUGAAACCAUGUCAAACUUCCAGUGCUCUAGAAUGAUAGACGAGCCUGUUACGCUAGGAAUGAUCUGUGCAGCCCCGAGUAAUCUACAAGGAACGUGUUUUGGGGACAGCGGUGGUCCUCUGACUGUCUUGAGUAAAUCAGGCCGAUACAUUCUGAUCGGUGUUGUGAGCUUCGGAGUAACCGGCUGUGCAGUCAUGCCAGCCUUUCCAGACCUCUACACACGAGUUAGUGAAUAUCUUAAAUGGAUUGAUGUCAACGC